rnacentral:rRNA from 1 species
AGUGAACGCUGGCGGUAGGCCUAACACAUGCAAGUCGAACGGCAGCACAGUAAGAGCUUGCUCUUACGGGUGGCGAGUGGCGGACGGGUGAGGAAUACAUCGGAAUCUACUUUUUCGUGGGGGAUAACGUAGGGAAACUUACGCUAAUACCGCAUACGACCUACGGGUGAAAGCAGGGGAUCUUCUGACCUUGCGCGAUUGAAUGAGCCGAUGUCGGAUUAGCUAGUUGGCGGGGUAAAGGCCCACCAAGGCGACGAUCCGUAGCUGGUCUGAGAGGAUGAUCAGCCACACUGGAACUGAGACACGGUCCAGACGCCUACGGGAGGCAGCAGUGGGGAAUAUUGGACAAUGGGCGCAAGCCUGAUCCAGCCAUACCGCGUGGGUGAAGAAGGACUUCGGGUUGUAAAGCCCUUUUGUUGGGAAAGAAAAGCAGCAGGUUAAUACCCCGCUGUUCUGACGGUACCCAAAGAAUAAGCACCGGCUAACUUCGUG